rnacentral:rRNA from 1 species
UACGUAGGGUGCGAGCGUUUGUCCGGAAUUAUUGGGCGUAAAGGGCUCGUAGCGGUUUGUCGUACGUCGGGAGUGAAAACUCAGGGCUUAACCCUGAGCCUGCUUCCGAUACGGGGCAGACUAGAGGUAUGCAGGGGAGAAUGGAAUUCCUGGUGUAGCGGUGAAAUGCGCAGAUAUCGGGAAGAACACCCGUGGCGAAGGCGGCUCACUGGACCACAACUGACGCUGAGGCGCG